AAUGAACGUUGGCGGCAUGGAUUAGGCAUGCAAGUCGCGCGACAAGGCCCUUUUAGCUUGCUAUUUGGGCUGGAGGAGCGGCGUAAGGGUGAGUAACGCGUGGAUCACCUACCCUCAGGUGCGGAAUAGCGGCGGGAAACUGCCGGUAAUGCCGCAUAAUAUCUCCGGAUCAAAGCUCCGGCGCCUGGGGACGGGUCCGCGUACCAUUAGCUUGUUGGCGGGGUAAAGCCCACCAAGGCUGAGAUGGUUAGUGGGCGUGAGAGCGUGGCCCACCACACUGGGACUGAGACACUGCCCAGACACCUACGGGUGGCUGCAGUCGAGAAUCUUUGUCAAUGGACGAAAGUCUGAACAAGCGAUGCCGCGUGCGGGAUGAAGGCCUUCGGGUUGUAAACCGCUGUCAGAGGGGAGCAAAUUUUGAGCGAUCCUCAGAGGAAGCCCGGGCUAAGUUCGUGCCAGCAGCCGCGGUAACACGAACCGGGCAAACGUUAUUCGGAAUUACUGGGCUUAAAGGGUGCGUAGGCGGCGCUAUAAGUCGGGUGUGAAAUCCCACGGCUCAACCGUGGAACUGCGCCCGAUACUG
rnacentral:rRNA from 1 species